rnacentral:rRNA from 1 species
AAUGAACGUUGGCGGCAUGGAUUAGGCAUGCAAGUCGAGCGCGAUUGACGAUGAAGCUUGCUUUAGCGUCAUGAAAGCGGCGAAAGGGAGAGUAACGCGUAGUUACAUGCCCUCGGGUCCGGAAUAGCUGCGGGAAACUGCAGGUAAUGCCGGAUAAUAUCUACGGAUCAAAGGUGUGAUUCCGCCCGAGGAGUGGACUGCGUCCUACUAGCUAGUUGGUGGGGUAAUGGCCUACCAAGGCGACGAUGGGUAGCGGGCGUGAGAGCGUGGUCCGUCUCACUGGGACUGAGACACUGCCCAGACACCUACGGGUGGCUGCAGUCGAGAAUCUUCGGCAAUGGACGAAAGUCUGACCGAGCGAUGCCGCGUGCGGGAUGAAGGCCCUCGGGUUGUAAACCGCUGUCGUAGAGGAGAAAGGCUCUGUGAAGAGCAGAGUUUGAUCUAUUCUAGGAGGAAGUCCGGGCUAAGUUCGUGCCAG